rnacentral:rRNA from 1 species
GACGAACGCUGGCGGCGUGCCUAAUACAUGCAAGUCGAGCGAAGCGGCGGAUGGGUGAGUAACGCGUGGGGAACCUGCCCUUAAGGCUGGGAUAACAUUUGGCAACAGAUGCUAAUACCGGCAACUUAAGGAUGGACCUGCCAUGCAUUAGCUAGUUGGUAAGGUAACGUCUUACCAAGGCGAUGGUGCAUAGCCGAGGUGAGAGACGGAUCGGCCACAUUGGGACGGAGACACGGCCCAAACUCCUACGGGAGGCAGCAGUAGGGAAUCUUCCACAAUGGACGAAAGUCUGAUGGAGCAACGCCGCGUGAGUGAAGAAGGUUUUCGGAUCGUAAAGCUCUGUUGUUGGUGAAGCGGUAAUCAACCAGAAAGUCACGGCUAACUCCGUGCCAGCAGCCGCGGUAAUUC